GGAGACCUGGCAGGGUCCAGUUCCAGCUGCGGGGUCUCAGGGAGCAGAGCUCUGGGGGCUCCACCAUGGCCUGGUCUCCUCUCCUGCUCAGCCUCCUCACUCUCUGCCAAGGUGCUUGGACCCAGUCUGUGCUGACUCAGCCGGCAUCCAGAUCAGGGUCUCUGGGUCAGUCGGUCUCCAUCCCCUGCACUCGAAGCAGUGGCAGCAUUAGUGACUACUACGUGCACUGGUACCAGCAGCACCAGGGCAGGAGCCCCAAGCUCAUUAUCUAUAGGGAUAAUCAACGUCCCUCAGGGAUUCCAGAGAGAUUCUCGGGCUCCAUAGAUGACUCCAGCAACUCAGCGACUCUGAGCAUCUCUGGGCUGCAGCCUGAGGACGAGGCUGACUAUUACUGUCAUUCUGGUGAUAGCAACGACGAUCCCACAGUGGUUCAGAUCAAUGGGGAAGUAAGACAAAAACCCUGA